rnacentral:rRNA from 1 species
UACGGAGGGGGCUAGCGUUGUUCGGAAUCAUUGGGCGUAAAGGGCGCGUAGGCGGCCGAUCAAGUCGGAGGUGAAAUCCCUCGGCUCAACUGAGGAAUUGCCUUCGAUACUGUUCGGCUUGAGUCCUGGAGAGGGUAGUGGAAUUCCCGGUGUAGCGGUGAAAUGCGUAGAGACCGGGAAGAACACCAGUGGCGAAGGCGGCUACCUGGACAGGUACUGACGCUGAAGCGCGAAAGCUAGGGGAGCAAACAGG